rnacentral:rRNA from 1 species
GUGAGGAAUAUUGGUCAAUGGGCGGGAGCCUGAACCAGCCAAGUCGCGUGAAGGAAGAAGGAUCUAUGGUUCGUAAACUUCUUUUGCAGGGGAAUAAAGUGCAGGACGUGUCCUGUUUUGUAUGUACCCUGAGAAUAAGGAUCGGCUAACUCCGUACCAGCAGCCGCGGUAAUACGGAGGAUCCGAGCGUUAUCCGGAUUUAUUGGGUUUAAAGGGUGCGUAGGUGGUUUGAUAAGUCAGCGGUGAAAGUUUGCAGCUUAACUGUAAAAAUGCCGUUGAAACUGUCGGACUUGAGUGUAAAUGAGGUAGGCGGAAUGCGUGGUGUAGCGGUGAAAUGCAUAGAUAUCACGCAGAACUCCGAUUGCGAAGGCAGCUUACUAAGCUACAACUGACACUGAAGCACGAAAGCGUGGGGAUCAAACAGGAUUAGAUACCCGAGUAGUCC